rnacentral:rRNA from 1 species
AUUGAACGCUGGCGGCAGGCCUAACACAUGCAAGUCGAACGAGUGGCGGACGGGUGAGUAAUGUCUGGGCAACUGCCUGAUGGAGGGGGAUAACUACUGGAAACGGUAGCUAAUACCGCAUACCAUCAGAUGUUCCCAGAUGGGAUUAGCUUGUUGGUGGGGUAAGGGCUCACCAAGGCGACGAUCCCUAGCUGGUCUGAGCGGAUGACCAGCCACACUGGGACUGAGACACGGGCCAGACUCCUACGGGAGGCAGCAGUGGGGAAUAUGGCACAAGGGGCGCAAGCCUGAGGGAGCCAUGCCGCGUGUAGGAAGAAGGCCUUCGGGUUGUAAAGUACUGUCAGCGGGGAGGCGUUACCCGCAGAAGAAGCACCGGCUAACUCCGGGCCAGCAGCCGCGGUAAUUC